rnacentral:rRNA from 1 species
AGUGAACGCUGGCGGCAGGCCUAACACAUGCAAGUCGAACGGCAGCACAGUGGAGCUUGCUCCAUGGGUGGCGAGUGGCGGACGGGUGAGGAAUACAUCGGAAUCUGCCCAGUCGUGGGGGAUAACAUAGGGAAACUUAUGCUAAUACCGCAUACGACCUACGGGUGAAAGCGGGGGAUCGCAAGACCUCGCGCGAUUGGAUGAGCCGAUGUCCGAUUAGCUAGUUGGCGGGGUAAUGGCCCACCAAGGCGACGAUCGGUAGCUGGUCUGAGAGGAUGAUCAGCCACACUGGAACUGAGACACGGUCCAGACUCCUACGGGAGGCAGCAGUGGGGAAUAUUGGACAAUGGGCGCAAGCCUGAUCCAGCCAUGCCGCGUGGGUGAAGAAGGCCUUCGGGUUGUAAAGCCCUUUUGUCCGGAAAGAAAAGCCCUGGGUUAACACCCUGGGGUGAUGACGGUACCGGAAGAAUAAGCACCGGCUAACUUCGUGCCAGCAGCCGCCGUAAUAC